AUUGUCAUGGAGACGGGAAGCUGGCUGCAGCGGCGGCGGGGACCGUGGGGCCGAGGUGGCUGCCAGCCGGCCAAUGUCUAAGCGAGGCGGAGCGGCCCAGGCGGCCCGAGCCUGGGGGAGCGCGCAGCCGGCCAGUGGCGGCCUCGCCGGCGGCCUCUUCCCGGGCUCGCAGUAGGCCCGAGUCGUCGCCGGGAGCUCCUGGGAGCAGCGUCCCCGCCCUGCUCCCCUCGCUCCCGCCUCUUGCGGCCCCACGGCCCCUCAGCGCCCGCCCCCGGCUCCGCCCGCCGCAGCCGCAGCCCCUGGCGCUAACGGUCGGUAACGGCCCGCGCGCGCCGCCCGCCGGGGGCUCGCGCCAGCCACGAGGGAGCGUCCGCGGCCCGCGCGCCCGCGCGGCGGAGGAGAGGUGUUAAGUGUGAUGCUUCCAUAAUACAUUUGGAUGCUGUCAGCUAAGUUCACUUCUGAAC
rnacentral:lncRNA from 1 species